rnacentral:rRNA from 1 species
GAUGAACGCUGGCGGCGUGCCUAAUACAUGCAAGUCGAGCGAACGGACGAGAAGCUUGCUUCUCUGAUGUUAGCGGCGGACGGGUGAGUAACACGUGGAUAACCUACCUAUAAGACUGGGAUAACUUCGGGAAACCGGAGCCAAUACCGGAUAAUAUUUUGAACCGCAUGGUUCAAAAGUGAAAGACGGUCUUGCUGUCACUUAUAGAUGGAUCCGCGCUGCAUUAGCUAGUUGGUAAGGUAACGGCUUACCAAGGCAACGAUGCAUAGCCGACCUGAGAGGGGGGUCGGCCACCCUGGAACUGAGACACGGUCCAGACUCCUGCGGGAGGCAGCAGUAGGGAAUCUUCCGCAGUGGUCGAAAGCCUGACGGAGCAACGCCGCGUGAGUGAUGAAGGUCUUCGGAUCGUAAAACUCUGUUAUUAGGGAAGAACAUAUGUGUAAGUAACUGUGCACAUCUUGACGGUACCUAAUCAGAAAGCCACGGCUAACUACGUG